GAGUAAAUAAUAUGUUUACGAGUUACUUUUUGUUUUUUGCGAAGUUGAUUUCAGUAUAAAUGUGACAGAAAAUACAAUAACAUUCAGUUCAAACGACCAUGUUGUCCUCCAACGUUUUCAAUAUGAAACUGAUAAUAUUUGUUGUCCUUAUUUUCUGCAUCCUAGUUGUUACAGGUUUUCCAGAUUUUUCAAGGCAGGAGAGAGCAAUCUGCUAUCCCUUAGACUGUAACUCCCGUUGUUUCCCACGUGGAGGGUAUUGCUCCUAUAACAUCUGUUAUUGUCGAUAAUGAACCUCAGAAAAUAGUUUAUUCACAUAACCGAAGUGAUUAGAAUUAUUUCACAAAUUUUAUAUUAAUUUUUUUUGUUGGAUUAUUUGAAGUUGUAAUGUCACUAUAUUUGGUACCCUCAAUAAAAAAAAUACUUUGAAUA